rnacentral:misc_RNA from 1 species
AACACUGUUAACCUGCGGUACCUGCGGAGGGAUCAUUACCGAGUCUACAAACUCCCAACCCUUCUGUGAACAUACCUGCCGUUGCUUCGGCGGGACGCCCCGGCGCCCUGAGCCCGGACCCAGGCGCCCGCCGGAGACCCCAAACUCCACUGUAUUUUGAGCACCGUAUUUUUAUCUGAGUGGCAAACGCAAAACAAAUCAAUCAAAACUUUCAGCAACGGAUCUCAGAUCGGAAGAGCA